rnacentral:lncRNA from 1 species
CUGGCAGUCACAGGCCUCACCCCUCUCCCACACAGCCCUCAGUCCUAAAGGCUGGUCUCACUCCCAUCCUGCCACGCAACAGCACAGGGUCUAUUUCGAGACAGCCAGUGACCAGGGCUGAGAACUUGCCCCAGACCACCAGCCUCCUCACUGAGAAAGCAAGCAGAAUCACAGUUUUUUGGAAUCUCAGGGAGCCUUCAGCGGCAAUCCAGUUCCUUCAAAGGGUCUGUGGAUUCUCUCAGUUUUCAUGGCUGGAUCCCUGAACGCUAACUGACAUCCUGCUUUUCUUAAGGGAUAUGGAAAUUUCCCUGGGACAGCUGUGCUCUGCUGGCUAAGGAGCCCACAAGGUUAAUGAACACCCACAAAGACUGAGGAGGAUAGAGAGCAUUCUUCACUGGAUGAUUAGCAUGCCAGCAUUCUUUCCUCUGUGGUAAUGAUGGUCAAGAAGGUGCCUGGUGAUAGAAGGGAGAAUGAAGGGUUGCUGCUUCUGCCUCAAACGCUUAUUAAAAUUCAUUUCCAUUCAAA